GCUUGCUCCCUGAUAUCAGCGGCGGACGGGUGAGUAACACGUGGGUAACCUGCCUGUAAGACUGGGAUAACUCCGGGAAACCGGGGCUAAUACCGGAUAACUCAUUUCCUCGCAUGAGGAAAUGUUGAAAGGUGGCUUUUAGCUAUCACUUACAGAUGGACCCGCGGCGCAUUAGCUAGUUGGUGAGGUAACGGCUCACCAAGGCAACGAUGCGUAGCCGACCUGAGAGGGUGAUCGGCCACACUGGGACUGAGACACGGCCCAGACUCCUACGGGAGGCAGCAGUAGGGAAUCUUCCGCAAUGGACGAAAGUCUGACGGAGCAACGCCGCGUGAGUGAUGAAGGUUUUCGGAUCGUAAAGCUCUGUUGUUAGGGAAGAACAAGUGCCGUUCGAAUAGGGCGGCACCUUGACGGUACCUAACCAGAAAGCCACGGCUAACUACGUGCCAGCAGCCGCGGUAAUACGUAGGUGGCAAGCGUUGUCCGGAAUUAUUGGGCGUAAAGCGCGCGCAGGUGGUUCCUUAAGUCUGAUGUGAAAAGCCCACGGCUCAACCGUGGAGGGUCAUUGGAAACUGGGGGACUUGAGUGCAGAAGAGGAAAGUGGAAUUCCAAGUGUAGCGGUGAAAUGCGUAGAUAUUUGGAGGAACACCAGUGGCGAAGGCGACUUUCUGGUCUGUAACUGACACUGAGGCGCGAAAGCGUGGGGAGCAAACAGGAUUUAGAUACCCUGGUAGUCCACGCCGUAAACGAUGAGUGCUAAGUGUUAGGGG
rnacentral:rRNA from 2 species